UUGAUUACGUCCCUGCCCUUUGUACACACCGCCCGUCGCUGCCCGGGACUGAGCCAUUUCGAGAAAUUUGGGGACCGUUGAUUUAAUUUUUCUAAAUUACUUUGAUGGAAACCAAUUUAAUCGCAGUGGCUUGAACCGGGCAAAAGUCGUAACAAGGUAGCUGUAGGUGAACCUGCUGCUGGAUCAUUAC
rnacentral:rRNA from 4 species